rnacentral:rRNA from 1 species
AGUGAACGCUGGCGGUAUGCCUAACACAUGCAAGUCGAACGACAGCAUAGUGAGCUUUUGCCCUUACCGGUGGCGGGUGGCGGGCGGGUGAGAAGUGGAUCGCAAACUACUUUGUCGUGGGGGAUAACGUAGGGACACUUACGCUACCAGCGCAUAUAUCCUACGGGAGAAAUCAAGAGAUCUACGGAGCUUGCGCGACUGAAUGAGCCGGUGUCGGAUUAGCUAGUUGGCGGGGUAACGGCCCACCAAGGCGACGAUCCGUAGCUGGUCUGAGAGGAUGAUCAGCCACACUGGAACUGAGACACGGUCCAGACUCCUACGGGAGGCAGCAGUAGGGAAUAUUCGGCAAUGGGCGAAAGCCUGAUCCAGCCAUGCCGCGUGAGUGAAGAAGGCCUUCGGGUUGUAAAGCCCUUUUAUUGGGGAAGAAAAGCUGUAGGUUAAUACCCGGCUGUUCUGACGGUACCCAAACAGUAAGCCACGGCUAACUUCGUG